AUUGAACGCUGGCGGCAUGCUUUACACAUGCAAGUCGAACGGCAGCGCGGGGCAACCUGGCGGCGAGUGGCGAACGGGUGAGUAAUACAUCGGAACGUACCCAGAAGUGGGGGAUAACGUAGCGAAAGUUGCGCUAAUACCGCAUACGUUCUACGGAAGAAAGUGGGGGACCUUCGGGCCUCAUGCUUUUGGAGCGGCCGAUGUCUGAUUAGCUAGUUGGUAGGGUAAAGGCCUACCAAGGCGACGAUCAGUAGCUGGUCUGAGAGGACGACCAGCCACACUGGGACUGAGACACGGCCCAGACUCCUACGGGAGGCAGCAGUGGGGAAUUUUGGACAAUGGGCGCAAGCCUGAUCCGGCAAUGCCGCGUGAGUGAAGAAGGCCUUCGGGUUGUAAAGCUCUUUUGUCAGGGAAGAAACGGCUGAGGUUAAUACCUUUGGCUAAUGACGGUACCUGAAGAAUAAGCACCGGCUAACUACGUGCCAGCCGCCGCAGUAACAC
rnacentral:rRNA from 1 species